AGUAUUCAAGUUAGAGUUAACUUGAAGUUGUCGCAGCAGUUAGAGGUUGGUUGCCACAACGGGAUUAGAGUUAAUCCUAGGUUUACAAAAGUGUUUUGUAAAUGCAGUUUUUGGCUCAGUGAUUUAAUGGAGAGUUUGGGAAAAUCCUACUGAGAAAUAGGUCGUGGUUUUUUCACCUUUUGAGCCAGGUAUUUUUUACGUAAAAUACUUGUGUUCUUUACUUUUUGCAUUUACUAUUUCAGCAAUAGUAGGUUAAGGAAUACAUAGAAGAAUCUGGUCCUUCCAUAAUCAGUUUAAGCGAAAAAUUGGACAUCACACAAAUCAUUCCCCUCCCUCCCUGCAUGGUAUUGAAGUUAAAAUAUCAAUUGGUAUCAGAGCAGGUUAUCCUUGAAGAGGCUAACACCUUAGAAGAAGAUCAAGAUGAGUGCACCACCUGAAAACUCGGAAGGGCAAUCCACUGCUAGGCCACCACUCUUCAACGACCAGUAUUACUCAUGGUGGAAAAAC
rnacentral:lncRNA from 1 species